GGGAGGGGAGAGAGCUGAGCAUGAGGAGGAAAGGGCUGAGGGAGGGUGAACAGUAGGGAGAAAUAUGGAAGGGAUGAGAGAGAAGGUUCAAGAGGGGGGAAGGGCUGGGCACCAUGGGGUGUCCAGGGGCAGAGAAGAAAGAGAGACUCUCUAAGCUGCCUUUUUCGGGCAUAUUCUGUCUAUGGGAGGGCAGAGGAGGCUGCUUGCUGUCUGAGGAGACCACUCAUCUUCUUAUCUCCCAGGGAGGACUUGGGCUUAGCUCCAGUACCAGGAGAGGAGACCGAGGUCUCCAGGCUAUGGGGCACCAGAGCAGGCUGAAGAAGAGCACAGACUCCUGGAAGGGGAGACGUUCAGUGUGAACUGCUCCUACAAGUCCCAGGAAGAUAAACAUAGAUGGAUGUCUUGGUGUAAAAAGCAAGAGAAUGGAGAGUACUGUGUUGUACCACCCUUAGAAAAAAGCCCCAAGGUUUCCCUGUCAGACAAUGAAUACUUCUCCUCUUCAUGACAAUAGUAGCAUCAUCACUAUCACUAUCACAAAGUUGAGGCUCACAGUAAAGGAUUCAGGUGUCUGUGAGUGUGUGAUCCUUGAAGAAUCUCCUAAGACAGUCCCUGAAGAAUUUCCUAAGAGUGAAAAAGCCAUCCUCAGGAGAUUUCACCUGGUGGUGUCCUCAGUUGAAACACAGAGCCCCACGAAAGGGAUACAAACUACUACGGAGGUCAUUUCCAACAAUCCGGCCACCAACAACAGGUACCUCUACUUUCCAAAAUCUUCCUUUUCUGUCCCAGAAGUCAAUGCAUUGUACAUAACUUCUCCAAACCCUAGUAUGCACUGGCCUGUUCCAAGAUUCACUGACUUUUCCCAUAGGGAGCCCAGGGCUGCAGCAGGCUUAGCACAAAUUCACUUAAUGUUUUUCCUCUCAAAUUUAAGCUUAUCAUGGCUUAAGAUCUGA
rnacentral:lncRNA from 1 species